rnacentral:rRNA from 1 species
CAUGCAAGUCGAACGGUAACGGAAAGCAUAAUCCUUCGGGUGCAUGCUUUGACGACGAGUGGCGGACGGGUGAGUAAUACAUAGGAAUCUGCCCAGUAGCGGGGGAUAACUUAGGGAAACUUGAGCUAAUACCGCAUACGCCCUACGGGGGAAAGCAGGGGAUCUUCGGACCUUGCACUAUUGGAUGAGCCUAUGUCAGAUUAGCUAGUAGGUGGGGUAAGGGCCCACCUAGGCAACGAUCUGUAGCUGGUCUGAGAGGACGAUCAGCCACACUGGGACUGAGACACGGCCCAGACUCCUACGGGAGGCAGCAGUGGGGAAUAUUGGACAAUGGGGGCAACCCUGAUCCAGCAAUGUCGCGUGUGUGAAGAAGGCCUGCGGGUUGUAAAGCACUUUCAAUCGUGAAGAAAAGCUUACGGCUAAUACCCGUAAGUCUUGACGUAAUCGAUACAAGAAGCACCGGCUAACUCCGUGCCAGCAGCCGCGGUAAUACGGAGGGUGCGGGCGUUAAUCGGAAUUACUGGGCGUAAAGAGCACGUAGGCGGUUUGGUCAGUCGGAUGUGAAAGCCCUGGGCUUAACCUGGGAAUUGCAUUCGAUACUGUCAGGCUAGAGUUUGGUAGAGGAAUGCGGAAUUCCGGGUGUAGCGGUGAAGUGCGUAGAGAUCCGGAAGAACAUCAGUGGCGAAGGCGGCAUUCUGGGCUAAAACUGACG